AACGUAGGUGGCAAGCGUUAUCCGGAUUUACUGGGCGUAAAGCGUGUGCAGGCGGGGGUACAAGUGGUGUAUGAAAUUUCCCAGCUUAACUUGGGAAGGGUUAUGCCAGACUGUACUUCUGGAGUGCGAGAGAGGGGGCGUGGAAUUCCUGGUGUAGCGGUGGAAUGCGCAGAUAUCAGGAGGAACACCGGUGGCGAAGGCGGGUCUCUGGGCCGAUACUGACGCUGAGGAGCGAAAGCAUGGGUAGCGAACAGG
rnacentral:rRNA from 1 species